rnacentral:misc_RNA from 1 species
AAGUCGUAACAAGGUUUCCGUAGGUGAACCUGCGGAAGGAUCAUUAUAAAUGGGAAGGUUUUAAAACGGGGGUUCCUUGCCCGAUUGGGGCCCCCGGAAAUCCCUUCCCCAACCCUCUGUCGUUAUAACUACUUCGUUGCUUUGGCGGGACCGCGAAAGGUUCUCCCGAGCGCGCCGGUCUUCGGACAGGCGAGCGCCCGCCAGAGUCCAACCAAACUCUUGUUUUUAAACCAGUCGUCUGAGUAUAAAAUUUUAAUUAAAUUAAAA